rnacentral:rRNA from 1 species
GACGAACGCUGGCGGCGUGCUUAACACAUGCAAGUCGAACGGAAAGGCCCUGCUUUUGUGGGGUGCUCGAGUGGCGAACGGGUGAGUAACACGUGAGUAACCUGCCCUUGACUUUGGGAUAACUUCAGGAAACUGGGGCUAAUACCGGAUAGGAGCUCCUGCUGCAUGGUGGGGGUUGGAAAGUUUCGGCGGUUGGGGAUGGACUCGCGGCUUAUCAGCUUGUUGGUGGGGUAGUGGCUUACCAAGGCUUUGACGGGUAGCCGGCCUGAGAGGGUGACCGGCCACAUUGGGACUGAGAUACGGCCCAGACUCCUACGGGAGGGAGGAGGGGGGAAUAUUGCACAAUGGGCGGAAGCCUGAUGCAGCAACGCCGCGUGCGGGAUGACGGCCUUCGGGUUGUAAACCGCUUUCGCCUGUGACGAAGCGUGAGUGACGGUAAUGGGUAAAGAAGCACCGGCUAACUACGUG